rnacentral:rRNA from 1 species
AUUGAACGCUGGCGGCAUGCUUUACACAUGCAAGUCGAACGGCAGCGCGGGCUUCGGCCUGGCUGCGAGUGGCGAACGGGUGAGUAAUGCAUCGGAACGUGCCCAGUAGUGGGGGAUAGCCCGGCGAAAGCCGGAUUAAUACCGCAUACGACCUGAGGGUGAAAGCGGGGGACCGAAAGGCCUCGCGCUCUUGGAGGGGCCGAUGUCGGAUUAGCUAGUUGGUGGGGUAAAGGCUUACCAAGGCGACGAUCCGUAGCUGGUCUGAGAGGACGACCAGCCACACUGGGACUGAGACACGGCCCAGACUCCUACGGGAGGCAGCAGUGGGGAAUAUUGGACAAUGGGCGCAAGCCUGAUCCAGCCAUGCCGCGUGGGGGAAGAAGGCCUUCGGGUUGUAAAGCGCUUUUGUUCGGGAAGAAAACCUGUGGGCUAAUACCCCGGGGUGAUGACGGUACCGGAAGAAUAAGCACCGGCUAACUUCGUG